CAACUCCAAGUAAAGUGAGUGAAGAGAGUUGGGCUUCAAGUCUGAGAAAGCAAGUGCAAUUACAGGACUAGAAAAAGAAGGGGCAGCUUUCUACGGAUCCUGCGGGGAGGAGGGAACGAAAAAGCCAGCGCAGGCGGCAGGAGAGGGGCCAAGCGGCGUCCUCGGGAACCUCCUUCGGGCCUGGGCCUCCCCGGGAGGCGGGAGGCGGGAGGCGGGAGUGCUCGGUCCCGGUACUCCCGGAGGCUGGCACAAGCAGGAAGGAGGAGGCCUCCUCCUCCAGGUGCGGGGAAUCAGUUGAACAGUCACCGAGACAGAGGGGACCACGCCGGGUACAUCCGCCGGGUACAUACAGUGUAGCCCGACACCGGACCACAACAACAUCAGGCACCCAUCGUGUUCCGCACCCACGCCCCGCUGGACAGCCUGGCCUGAGGUCCCUGAAAGCCGCCCAGACACAGGAAUCCCGGAAAAACCAUCUGAACCCCUGCACACCAAGACGUCACCCACUAGAUGGCACGACUACAGUGGCACACCUCCCGAAACCCUAGAUGUCACUUAACGCAAUCUGAAGAACCUGAUACACAGACUCCAAGGACAGAACUUUCUUAAUGCCUGCUCGCCGUUCCUGCUUCUGAUCUGCCUGUCACGUGUUGGCAGCUCCAGCUGGCUAUCUACAGAAAAGCAGAAUUCCGGCGGCUGACCUCCCUCAUGCAGCAUCUCAUCCCCUGCCAAUUCUUCCCCUAGCCAUCUACUUUGGACUGAGACUUGUAUAGGACUUUCUGACAUACCCUAUAGACAUUUUACACAAUUUUAAAGCAGCUUACUUCCCUUCACGCUGCUGGUUUUUUAUAGACUGAUCCUGAGUAAUUCACAGACUUUACAGACUGUUGCCUUGAGGACUAUACAAUGCCAAAUAGCCCCUCUGUUUGGUGGGUCAUGCCAUCCUGCCUCCCCCUCAUUAUGUACCCUUGCCCCGCCCCCCCCCAAGCAGGGAACGUUCCUUUACACACCAAUCCUUCCCUUCACUUCACACUGGCUUUUACUACUCCCCUACUUGUCCCUUCCUGUUUUGUUAUAUCAUUUAGGUUUAUGCCCAAAAGGUUUCUGCUCCAUGAUAGUCUUUUAUAGACUUUGAACCAUCUUAUGCUAUUAUUAGAUAGAAAGAUAGAAAAGAUGUAGAGAUAUUGUGAAGAGAUGGUUGAGCAGGCUGCACUUAAACCUAUGAGAUUAGUCUCUCCAGGUAAGUCUCUCUCUCUCUAAUGAGGGGUUGAGCACAGGAGGAGGCAUAAAUCUCACAAGGUUGGCAGCCAUUUAAGCCUUCCCUCCUCCAUAGAAAGUCCUACAUCUUACCACCUGAGCAUGGCAUUCCUUAAAAACAUUUAAGCCUGCUCCAUUCCAUUUUUCUUUACUGUGUCCAUUUAGAUAUAAAGGGAUAGGAGGAGAUGUUGCUGAGGAAUUAUUCUGAUGCAGUCUCCGCCCCCAGGUUUUACCACGCCCCGUGAAAUCCUAGCAGUGCCCCCUUCAACCAAUCAUGGCCCCACACGUCAUCCCUGGUUGUCGCCCAAUAAAAAUCCCCGUCACCGCCCCCCUCUCUCUCUGGGCUCUCGGCUCCCCCUCUCACAGAUCUCUCUCCCUUCUCUCAUCCCGUGGUCAGGUAGUGGGGACGGCCAUUGUCGGCUGACUCCACGUGGCCUGAGCCACCCCCCCCCCAUCCUAUAAUAAAGAUUUGUGUACUCCCUUGCUCUGGACUUCCUCUCUCUUCUCCGCGGUGCAGCCGGACACCGGACCACAACAACACAGAAUAGUCAGAACUAACUUAAAAAAAAAAAAAGAACAAAGUUGGAGGACUCAUACUACUCAACUACAAUACUCACUACAAAGCUUUAGGGUCAGGCGGUGGCACACCUGAUUAAGUGCACACAUUACAGUGCACAAGGACCCAGGUUCAAGCCCCUGGUCCCCACCUGCAGGGGGAAAGCUUCACAAGCAGGGAUGCAGGUGUCUCUCUGUCUCUUUCCUCUCUA